UACGAAGGGGGCUAGCGUUGCUCGGAAUUACUGGGCGUAAAGCGCACGGUAGGCGGCUUUCUAAGUCGGGGGUGAAAUCCUGGAGCUCAACUCCAGAACUGCCUUCGAUACUGGAGAGCUCGAGUCCGGGAGAGGUGAGUGGAACUGCGAGUGUGAGAGGUGAAAUUCGUAGAUAUUCGCAAGAACACCAGUGGCGAAGGCG
rnacentral:rRNA from 1 species